GAUGAACGCUGGCGGCGUGCCUAAUACAUGCAAGUCGAGCGAACAGACGAGGAGCUUGCUCCUCUGACGUUAGCGGCGGACGGGUGAGUAACACGUGGAUAACCUACCUAUAAGACUGGGAUAACUUCGGGAAACCGGAGCUAAUACCGGAUAAUAUAUUGAACCGCAUGGUUCAAUAGUGAAAGACGGUUUUGCUGUCACUUAUAGAUGGAUCCACGCCGCAUUAGCUAGUUGGUAAGGUAACGGCUUACCAAGGCAACGAUGCGUAGCCGACCUGAGAGGGUGACCGGCCACACUGGAACUGAGACACGGUCCAGACUCCUACGGGAGGCAGCAGUAGGGAAUCUUCCGCAAUGGGCGAAAGCCUGACGGAGCAACGCCGCGUGAGUGAUGAAGGUCUUCGGAUCGUAAAACGCUGUUAUUAGGGAAGAACAAAUGUGUAAGUAACUAUGCACGUCUUGACGGUACCUAAUCAGAAAGCCACGGCUAACUACGUG
rnacentral:rRNA from 1 species